GAUUUGCAAACAAAACUUUAGAACUUGCAAGCAAAGAGGACGCAAAAUGGUCGUAUGUUUUUACUUACAAACAUUAGUUUUGAUUGAAGUUGAAGAAAUAUGUUCUCUCAUAUUUUUUUUUUCAAUUGCAACCUGUUCUGUUUUGAUCUCAAAAAAAUUUUUUUGAUUGCCACUUACUCUUUUUUUCUCUCAAAUCUCUCUUUUGGUUUCAAAUCUAUUCUAUUUGAUUGAAUAAUAAAAGAACAAAAUUCUCCCCAUAUACCAUUACCAUUAACAUUAACAUAAACAUAAACAUUAACUUAAAAUGUGAAUUUAGGUGCAUGUAAUUCUUUAGUAUGAACCACAUUUUAUAAUGAAAAAUAAAUAAUGCACUAUGCAGUCAUUAGAACAAGAAGAGCUUUUGAAUCUUGUGUGGAUUAUUUAAGUUACAUUUUGCUGGUUAUAGUGACAUGAAUAUGUUUAUAUUUUUACUGCCUAAGGCCAAGAAGAAAUUGUCCCUAAAUGUCCCUAAAGAUGACUUGAUGGCAGAGGUGACCAAAAAUGAUCUGGAUGGUCCUGAAGAUAAAGGAAGCUCUGCUCCAAGUUGCAGCAGUAUAAGCAGCAUUGGAUCAGGUAAUGAUUUCUCAUUUUCUAGCGGUGUAUCUUUGUUGUCUAAAAUUACAGAGUUUCAUUUCUUGCUAGUGAUUUUUCUGCCUGGGAUUAAAGUUGUUGGCAGAUUUUGUCAGUAUACAUGUGCUUAACAAAUCAAGUUAAGGCACACACCAUAUCUGGUCCACUACCUCUGUUGCAUGCAUGUCAUUCUCUCUCUCUCGCUCUCACUCACUCACUCAAUACUGUCAAAUCAUAAUCUUUUUUGUAUCCUGCUCUCAUUUUUGUUUUUAAGGAUCAAUCUCCAAAGUGGAGUUCCUAGAAGCCAGGAUCCAAUGGCAAGAAAAAAUAAGAAGAAAAAGAAGAAAUCAUGUGAAUGAUUUGGGAGCAACUUGUAUCUGCAAAAUAUAAUGUAAUUGUAAUGAAAGGUGUGAUAUAUCUUCAUAACAAUCUGAUCUUUGUCUCAUGUAUCCUCUAUUUGAUCGAAGCUCAGUCAAAAGUAUUUACUUUGGAGGACAAUGAUGAGGAUGACAAUGGCAAUAUGGAUGAAGAUGAAGUCAUUCCCCCAUCUUCUCCAGACAUCAGUGAGUCCUCGGACAGUGAUGUCCUCCAAAGGGGGAAGACACAUCGGACACGGCCACCUGCAUCUGCAACUGUGGCUGUGCCUGGAAAAGCUCAUGUGAGAGAUUUUUCAGUGAAAGGGCCAGCUGAGGUUAUCAGCAGAUAUAAAAAAAGUCUUGAAAAGCUUAAGCAAAGUCCACACCAUGACUGAAACCUUCAGAAUCAAUGGCGUGGACCGGGGAACCAUCAAGAUAACUGCUGCAAUUGUAGAGCUCAACAUUGUGGAUCCUGAAACCUUCAAGACCCUGAAGUAUGAUCCUGCAACGGAGACCCUGAAGUCCUUUGCUAAGAGAUGUGCAACCCACAUUACCCCUGAGAAGAAGAGCAUUAUAGAGGACAUGAAGGCCAAAUGCCAACUCCUCUCCUUGUUGAUGAAAUAUAAAGACCUGAUGCAGUAAUUAUAGAGCAGGUUUAGGCUGUGAAAGUGCAAUGUUUGUACAGUUCAGUACAUUUGUUCUAAGCGUUGACAAGUGUACUUAAGCUGAUAAAGAGCAAGUUCAUGUUGAGCUGUGUAGGUUUUAUAUUUUUUAGAUUGUGCAAUAUUUUGUAUUUUUGUACUUAAUAUUGUGCAGUAUUUUAUAUUGUGCUGUUUUUUUGUAAGCAGGCAGAUUUUGGUUAAAGGAUCACACAGAUUUUCAACAAGAGUGCCUGUAUUAUCAUACAGUAUGACCUGCUUAUACAUUUGAAACCAUAUUGUAUGACAUGUUUAUAUACACUGAUACUUGUCAGUGUUUGAAUUUUCAGGCAGACCCCAUUACCUGUAAAUUAAACUACACAGCAAGUUCACACAGUAUUUGUUGUCAGCCUUGGCAAAACCUGAACUAGUGGUUUAAUAAAUGAGGUAUUUGUACUUGUGCUGUCUUUGUUAUUCUACCACUGAAUGAGAGGGAACCUAUAGAUAGAUCCAUUUUUUUCAAAGGUGUAACCCAUCACUUGUUCAUUGCAGUAGUUAUGUGCUAUAAUAUAUUAACUAAGUGUGAAAAGUAGGCAACUUUAGAUUAGGGAACAUGUGUUGGUUAAUAAGUGUUCAACUAUUAGUGAAUUAGUAAUGAUCAAGAUGUCACUUUAGUAUGGGGAACAUAUUCUAAGUAACACAGACUUAAUUUAGAGUUAUUUGGACACUAUUAACACUUGUAGUUUUGUCUUUUGUUAUGUAAGAACAGACCAUAUUCAUUAAGUGUUAUUAAGGGAGAAUAACUAUUCUUGUGGUACUACCACCUUAUAAAGUCCAUACUAAGCAAAGCAUAUUGAGAUUGUAAUUCAUAUACAACAACUUCUUAACUUACUACUAAUAAGCAAU
rnacentral:lncRNA from 15 species